rnacentral:rRNA from 1 species
AUUGAACGCUGGCGGCAUGCUUUACACAUGCAAGUCGAACGGUAACAGGCCUUCUGGUGCUGACGAGUGGCGCACGGGUGAGUAAUGCAUCGGAACGUGCCCAGAGGUGGGGGAUAACGCAGCGAAAGCUGUGCUAAUACCGCAUGUGAUCUGAGGAUGAAAGCGGGGGACCAGGCAGCAAUGUUUGGCCUCGCGCCUUUGGAGCGGCCGAUGUCAGAUUAGGUAGUUGGUGGGGUAAAGGCCUACCAAGCCGACGAUCUGUAGCUGGUCUGAGAGGACGACCAGCAACACUGGGACUGAGACACGGCCCAGACUCCUACGGGAGGCAGCAGUGGGGAAUUUUGGACAAUGGGCGCAAGCCUGAUCCAGCAAUGCCGCGUGCGGGAAGAAGGCCUUCGGGUUGUAAACCGCUUUUGUACGGAACGAAAAGGCUCUGGCUAAUACCUGGGGCUGAUGACGGUACCGUAAGAAUAAGCACCGGCUAACUACGUG